rnacentral:rRNA from 1 species
GACGAACGCUGGCGGCGUGCUUAACACAUGCAAGUCGAACGGAAAGGCCCUGCUUUUGUGGGGUGCUCGAGUGGCGAACGGGUGAGUAACACGUGAGUAACCUGCCCUUGACUUUGGGAUAACUUCAGGCAACUGGGGCUAAUACCGGAUAGGAGCUCCUGCUGCAUGGUGGGGGUUGGAAAGUUUCGGCGGUUGGGGAUGGACUCGCGGCUUAUCAGCUUGUUGGUGGGGUAGUGGCUUACCAAGGCUUUGACGGGUAGCCGGCCUGAGAGGGUGACCGGCCACAUUGGGACUGAGAUACGGCCCAGACUCCUACGGGAGGCAGCAGUGGAGAAUAUUGCACAAUGGGCGGAAGCCUGAUGCAGCAACGCCGCGUGCGGGAUGACGGCCUUCGGGUUGUAAACCGCUUUCGCCUGUGACGAAGCGUGAGUGACGGUAAUGGGUAAAGAAGCACCGGCUAACUACGUG